AAACUGCUUGCACUGGAAAUUGUAUGUUAAGAACCAAUAAAAAACUUCUUGAAAAUUGAAUUGGUUCACCCAGGGUGAGGCUCAGCCAUUGCACUCCGGUUGUGCUGACCCCUGCGAAUUCCCCAAAUGUGGGAAUCUCGACUGCAUUAUUUCUGGUAGUGGGGGACUGCGUUCGCGCUCUCCCCUG
rnacentral:snRNA from 1 species